rnacentral:rRNA from 1 species
CAGUAGCCGCGGUAAUACGAAGGGGGCUAGCGUUGCUUGGAAUGACUGGGCGUAAAGGGCGCGUAGGCGGAUUGUUUAGUUAGGCGUGAAAUUCCCGGGCUCAACCUGGGGGCUGCGUUUGAUACUUGGUUGCUUGAGUGGGGAAGAGGGUCGUGGAAUUCCCAGUGUAGAGGUGAAAUUCGUAGAUAUUGGGAAGAACACCGGUGGCGAAGGCGGCGACCUGGUCCUUGACUGACGCUGAGGCGCGAAAGCGUGGGGAGCAAACAGGAUUAGAUACCCGUGUAGUCCCUGUCUCUUAUAC